rnacentral:rRNA from 1 species
UUCCGGUUGAUCCUGCCGGCGGCCACCGCUAUUGGAAUUCGAUUAAGACAUGCGAGUCGAGAGUCGUAAGGACUCGGCGGACCGCUCAGUAACACGCGGAUAACAUGCCCUUGGGUGGAGGAUAAUCUCGGGAAACUGAGGAUAAUACUCCAUAGGUCUACUAUGCUGGAAUGCUUGUAGGCCCAAAACUCCGGUGCCCAAGGAUUGGUCUGCGGCUUAUCAGGUUGUAGUGGGUGUAACGGACCCACUAGCCAAUGACGCGUAAGGGCCUUGAGAGAGGGAGCCCUGAGAUGGACUCUGAGACAUGAGUCCAGGCCCUACGGGGCGCAGCAGUCGCGAAAACUUCACAAUGGGGGGAAACCCGAUGAGGGAAUUCCAAGUGCCAGCACAUUGUGUUGGGGCUGUCCCUGUCUAAAAAA